AUUGAACGCUGGCGGCAGGACUAACACAUGCAAGUCGAGCGGAUCGGCGGACGGGUGAUUAAUGCCUAGGAAUCUGCCUGGUAGUUGGGGAUAACGUCCGGCAACGGGCGCUAAUACCGCAUACUAUCAGAUGAUCCUAGGUAGGAUUAUCUACUUGGUGGGGUAAAGGCCUACCAAGGCGACGAUCCGUAACUGGUUUGAUAGGAUGAUAAGUCAAACUGGAACUGAGACACGGUCAGGACUCCGACGGGAGGCAGAAGUGGGGAAUAUUGGACAAUGGGCGAAAGCAUGAUCCAGCCAUGCCGCGUGUGUGAAGAAGGUCUUCGGAUUGUAAAGCACUUUAAGUUGGGAGGCGUUAACAACAGAAUAAGCACCGGCUAACUUCGUGCCAGCCGCCGCGGUAAUAC
rnacentral:rRNA from 1 species